GAGAAGUUCACAUCAUCACCUGAGGGUGGAGGUAUUGAGCUCUGCAUCCUUUCUUCUCUCUCUCUCUAUGUCUGUGUCUCUCCAACCUGAGGAAACUGCGCUACAAGGUUAACAUCUGUAGGAGUCAGGAAGAGAGGGAUGCAAGGAGAGGAAAAACAGCAUGAGGAGAGGAGGGGACUUGAAGGAGAAGCACCAACUCGGCCUGUCAGAGUUCAUGAGCUGGAAAGAUGACGGUCAAAAGCACAUACCACCUUCACUGGGCUGGUGUGUGAAAAAAUGCCCACCUGUGGAGAGAGCACUUUGAUGGAUGAGGAAGAUUAAAGACAUCUUGUCCUGACAACUCAGGAAAAAAAGCGAGAGAACAAUCUGACAAGACUUAACAAAACCCAUCGCAGAAAAGGAGAACUUCAAACAGAAUCAAAAUCUGCAGACGAUGAAGGAGAGAUGCAAACACAGCACCUCAGGCUCUGUCUCUCUGCAUGCAUGCCUGUCUGUCUGUUUCCAUACCUGACUGUCUGUCAGUCUGUGCCUUUCAGUCUACCCAUUUUACAAAGUGGCAUCUAUCCUGCAUCACCGCUGCAGCAGCAACUGCAGCCAAUUCUUACUCUCAUGUUGCAAAUUAGAGAUCAGCUGUCAUGUUGUCAUUAAAAACCUGUUUCUCAUUCAGCUGCUCCACAUUACCCAACAAACGCCGCAAUUCCCAUAUCUCUACUGUAUACUACACAAUAAAGGAAAAAUAUCUUUAAAUAGUACUUUGACAUUUGAUCAGAUGUAACAACUGUAAGGUUUGAUUAGCAUCAGUGCAAGUGUGUGCGCAUAGGUGUAUUUGUGUACAGUAACUGACAAUUAGCUGGCGGACAAGCUGUCUGCUCUCUGCUCUUCCAUUACCUAUAGACUGAUUAUUAUAGAGCUGUUAUCUCUCUCUCUCUCCCUCUGUCUGUGUCUCUCUCUCUCUUUCUCUCUCACACACACACACAUCAUUGUGAAUGUGAUAGUGACUGCUGUGUAAUACUCUACAUCACACUCCAAGCUCUGUCAUCACAAUUACUUUAAUUAGAACUUUGGAGAAGUGUGUGUGUGUGUUUGUGUGUGUGUGUUUGUGCUGUGAUUUUCCAUCCAGUCUAAUCAAACUUGCAGUGAUCAAGUCUGUUGCUGAUAGAGGAGAUGCAAACUUUACUUUUAUCUGAGAAGCAUCUAAUCAGAAUGGCCAUGUCUUGUUUUUUUAAUGUUUUAUACAAAGCCCAUAUUUUGUUUUUUAUGCCACACUGCAAACAGCUUUUCUUUAAUGCCAGAAUGUAUAAGACCGAACAAAUUCAUGGUACAUUCACAUUUUAAAGGGAAACUCUGAAGACACUAAUCAUAAACUGUAUAUCGAUAGUGUAACAAACUCUAAGAAGUUAUAAUAAUAGUUACAUUUGCUUGCUCAAGGGACCCACAAUGGAAUGUUGGAGAAGCUAAUGAGCAAGUUAGUUGAAUUAGUAAAUAUAUCACUGCUGCUAACUGGCGCACCUGAAUUAAACUUACCAAUAAUUAAUUCAAUUUAGCUGCAGCUGUGUUCAUUCUGCCAUAACAGUGUGAAAAGGUUUAACACUGCGCUUCCAAGAGGUUGCUUCACGGUCAAAUGCAAGCAAUUAUGUUUGGUCACAAACGAAAAGUGCAAGAAGCUAACUGCACCAGCAACAAACUAUGGUUGUAAUUAGCCACAUUGUGACGUAAACAUCACUAACUGGAACAUAUAUGCAUGGAUAGCAAAGAAGUAGAUUAUGCUACCGGAGUGGUUUGAAAAGUUUCUAUGGAUGUUUUGUUAACUUUCACAACUGUGAAACUUGGAAAAAACUGCAGCUGUUGUAAAUCUAAGCUGACAGCAGCUGUUGUCCUCUGCAAAGGACCAAACCUUGUCAUCAUUCAACCAUCAGGUGGUGGGUGUUGGACAGUCAAAACAACAAAAGGACUUCUUUUCCUUGGACGCUCUGCGAGGGCCUGUUCAGCCAUUGUAGCUAUCAACAACUAAGGGUUGAAGAGAUUUUAUUAUAUAUCAAGCCUGCUGAAACCAGAAACUUUUGAAUACAUCAUGUAUAUGUGGCAGAGGAUUUUUCUCAGUAA